UACGGGGGGGGUAAGCGUUGUUCGGAAUUACUGGGCGUAAAGGGCUCGUAGGCGGCCAACUAAGUCAGACGUGAAAGCCCCCGGCUCAACUGGGGAAUUGCACGGGAAACUGCGAGGCUUGAGUUCGGGAGAGGGAAGCGGAAUUCCGGGUGUAGCGGUGAAAUGCGUAGAUAUCCGGAGGAACACCGGUGGCGAAGGCGGCUUCCUGGACCGACACUGACGCUGAGGCGCGAAAGCUAGGGGAGCAAACGGG
rnacentral:rRNA from 1 species